rnacentral:tRNA from 1 species
UUUUUGGUGGCCGAGGAUAAAGGCAAUAGAUUUUUAAUCUACUUACGAGCAUUGCUCUCUUGCGU